UGGGGAAUAUUGCACAAUGGGCGAAAGCCUGAUGCAGCGACGCCGCGUGAGGGAUGAAGGCCUUCGGGUUGUAAACCUCUUUCAGCAGGGAAGAAGCGAAAGUGACGGUACCUGCAGAAGAAGCACCGGCUAACUACGUGCCAGCAGCCGCGGUAAUACGUAGGGUGCGAGCGUUGUCCGGAAUUAUUGGGCGUAAAGAGCUUGUAGGCGGUUUGUCGCGUCUGCCGUGAAAAUCCGGGGCUCAACCCCGGACUUGCGGUGGGUACGGGCAGACUAGAGUGUGGUAGGGGAGACUGGAAUUCCUGGUGUAGCGGUGAAAUGCGCAGAUAUCAGGAGGAACACCGAUGGCGAAGGCAGGUCUCUGGGCCACUACUGACGCUGAGAAGCGAAAGCGUGGGGAGCGAACA
rnacentral:rRNA from 1 species